GAUGAACGCUAGCUACAGGCCUAACACAUGCAAGUCGAGGGACCGGCGCACGGGUGAGUAACACGUAUCCAACCUGCCCUUUACUCGGGGAUAGCCUUUCGAAAGAAAGAUUAAUACUCGAUAUAAAGGAUGGGGAUGCGUUCCAUUAGGUUGUUGGUAAGGUAUCGGCUCACCAAGCCUUCGAUGGAUAGGGGUUCUGAGAGGAAGGUCCCCCACAUCGGAACUGAGACACAGUCCAGACUCCUACGGGAGACAGCAGUGAGGAGUAUAGGUGAAGGAAGGCUAGCCGAGACCAGCCGAGUGGGGGGAAAAAUGAAUGCUUAUGGGACGUAAGUUUCUUGGAUAUAAGAAGCGGUAUUAUACGAAUAAGGAUCGGCUAACUCCGUGCCAGCAGCCGCGGUAAUAC
rnacentral:rRNA from 1 species